UNUGACUUGAGUGCAGAAGGGGAGAGUGGAAUUCCAUGUGUAGCGGUGAAAUGCGUAGAUAUAUGGAGGAACACCAGUGGCGAAAGCGGCUCUCUGGUCUGUCACUGACGCUGAGGCUCGAAAGCGUGGGUAGCGAACAGGAUUAGAUACCCUGGUAGUNCACGCCGUAAACGAUGAGUGCUAGGUGUUAGGCCCUUUCCGGGGCUUAGUGCCGGAGCUAACGCAAUAAGCACUCCGCCUGGGGAGUACGACCGCAAGGUUGAAACUCAAAGGAAUUGACGGGGGCCCGCACAAGCGGUGGAGCAUGUGGUUUAAUUCGAAGCAACGCGAAGAACCUUACCAGGCCUUGACAUCCCGAUGCUAUUCUUAGAGAUAGGAAGUUACUUCGGUACAUCGGAGACAGGUGGUGCAUGGUUGUCGUCAGCUCGUGUCGUGAGAUGUUGGGUUAAGUCCCGCAACGAGCGCAACCCUUAUUGUUAGUUGCCAUCAUUAAGUUGGGCACUCUAGCGAGACUGCCGGUAAUAAACCGGAGGAAGGUGGGGAUGACGUCAAAUCAUCAUGCCCCUUAUGACCUGGGCUACACACGUGCUGCAAUGGUCGGUACAACGAGUUGCGAGCCGGUGACGGCAAGCUAAUCUCUGAAAGCCGAUCUCAGUUCGGAUUGGAGGCUGCAACUCGCCUCCAUGAAGUCGGAAUCGCUAGUAAUCGCGGAUCAGCACGCCGCGGUGAAUACGUUCCCGGGCCUUGUACACACCGCCCGUCACACCACGAGAGUUUGUAACACCCGAAGUCGGUGAAGUAACCUUUUAGGGGCCAGCCGCCUAAGGUNGGA
rnacentral:rRNA from 1 species